rnacentral:tRNA from 1 species
GGAGGGGUGGCAGAGUGGUCGAAUGCGCCGGUCUUGAAAACCGGAAGAGGCCGAACGGUCUCUCGUGGGUUCGAAUCCCACCCCCUCCG